rnacentral:rRNA from 1 species
UACGUAGGGUGCGAGCGUUAAUCGGAAUUGCUGGGCGUAAAGCGUGCGCAGGCGGUUUUGUAAGCCAGAUGUGAAAGCCCCGGGCUCAACCUGGGAAUGGCAUUUGGGACUGCAAGGCUGGAGUUUGGCAGAGGAGACUGGAAUUCCUGGUGUAGCAGUGAAAUGCGUAGAUAUCAGGAGGAACACCGAUGGCGAAGGCAGGUCUCUGGGCUGAAACUGACGCUCAUGCACGAAAGCGUGGGGAGCAAACAGG